GAUGAACGCUGGCGGCGUGCCUAAUACAUGCAAGUCGAGCGAACGGACGAGAAGCUUGCUUCUCUGAUGUUAGCGGCGGACGGGUGAGUAACACGUGGAUAACCUACCUAUAAGACUGGGAUAACUUCGGGAAACCGGAGCUAAUACCGGAUAAUAUUUUGAACCGCAUGGUUCAAAAGUGAAAGACGGUCUUGCUGUCACUUAUAGAUGGAUCCGCGCUGCAUUAGCUAGUUGGUAAGGUAACGGCUUACCAAGGCAACGAUGCAUAGCCGAACUGAGAGGGUGAUCGGCCACACUGGAGCUGAGACACGGUCCAGACUCCUAAGGGAGGCAGCAGUAGGGAAUGUGCCGCAAUGGGCGAAAGCCUGACGGAGCAACGCCGCGUGAGUGAUGAAGGUCUUCGGAUCGUAAAACUCUGUUAUUAGGGAAGAACAUAUGUGUAAUUAACUGUGCACAUCUUGACGGUACCUAAUCAGAAAGCCACGGCUAACUACGUG
rnacentral:rRNA from 1 species